rnacentral:rRNA from 1 species
GACGUGCGCAGGCGGUUAUAUAAGACAGAUGUGAAAUACCCCGGGCCUCAACCUGGGAACUGCAUUUGUGACUGUAUAGCUGGAGUGCGGCAGAGGGGGAUGGAAUUCCGCGUGUAGCAGUGAAAUGCGUAGAUAUGCGGAGGAACACCGAUGGCGAAGGCAAUCCCCUGGGCCUGCACUGACGCUCAUGCACGAAAGCGUGGGGAGCAAACAGGAUUAGAUACCCUUGU